GGCUUCCGUCAAAGACGAGGCUCAAGACGGAAGUCCCGCCGCGCGGCGUGACGUAUAUUGGCUGCGCCUUUCCAUUCCCGAGGCGAGGGGGCGGGUCGGUCCGUGCGUCUGUGUCCUGUUAUUCCCGGGCUUUCUCCACGCCGGCUUUCUGUCGCAGCCACACGCCGGAAGUACACGCAGAGAGCCUUCUUGCUGAGGUGACAGUUUUCUGCGUCUCUUCUGCGUUUCAGUCUCUCCCCACCAGCCGCUACUUCUGCACUCUCAAUACCAAAUGUUUUAGGUAGAGGCGGCAACAGAAAGGUGGAUGCUGUGCGGCUGUUUUUUAGUCUGUCUCCGCUGAAAACCCAAGACAGGUGGAGGUAAGAUUUGCCUUCCCUUGCAAGAGGACAAGAGGAGGGAGCCCAGGCAAAGCUAGGGCAACACGAUGCAGUUUAAAGGUGAACCAGAAAUAAACUGACUACACAGAACAGAGAUGGAAGAAAUGUGCUGGUCCAAAUUUUGGCCUGAUAGUGGAG